rnacentral:tRNA from 1 species
GGGCGAAUAACUCAGCGGUAGAGUGUCUCCUUUACACGGAGGUUGUCGGGGGUUCGAUCCCCUCUUCGCCCA